GCUCUGUGCACGAUUACAGCGCCAACUAGCGUCCACAACUUUGUGGGCUCUGUCACAUUGACAUUUAGGUCGUAUAUUUGUGAAAAAAUAUCGAAAUGAAAAAAUAACAAAUAUUUUCGACUAAUAAAUUGUUGUGAUACCACGAUUUGGGUGGAAAAAAGGUUUUGAAAUCAUUUUGGUCAUUCAAAUCAAAUGAGAUCGAAAUGAGUAUUGUUUUGAAGACCUGAUUUGUGAGUGUUACAAUAUCAAAUUCCAACCACAAACCGUAUUUAAAGGAAAGUUGUUGGUAUUGGCUGGACAAGUCCGAGAUGUAGAAGAAUUGAGAACAAAACAAGGGCAGAGUUCAAUAAUUCACGCUCUCAUCAUAAGGCAAACAUUUGUGCACAACAACUACUGUAACUCAUUUUUGUACUACCACGUUGUAUAGUCUAGUUAUUUCCAAAUUGUAAACGGCUAUUAAACCAGCCCUAUCGAAAUACA